rnacentral:tRNA from 1 species
GGUUAUAUAGUUCAGUGGUAGAGCGCGUGCUUAGCAUGCAUGAGGCCCUGGGCUCAAUCCCCAUUACCUCCA